rnacentral:rRNA from 1 species
GACGAACGCUGGCGGCGUGCCUAAUACAUGCAAGUUGAGCGCUGAAGGUUGGUACUUGUACCAACUGGAUGAGCAGCGAACGGGUGAGUAACGCGUGGGGAAUCUGCCUUUGAGCGGGGGACAACAUUUGGAAACGAAUGCUAAUACCGCAUAAAAACUUUAAACACAAGUUUUAAGUUUGAAAGAUGCAAUUGCAUCACUCAAAGAUGAUCCCGCGUUGUAUUAGCUAGUUGGUGAGGUAAAGGCUCACCAAGGCGAUGAUACAUAGCCGACCUGAGAGGGUGAUAGGCCAAAUGGGGAAGGAAACAGGGCCCAAACGCCUACGGGAGGCACCAGAGGGGAAUCUUAGGCAAUGGACGAAAAUCUGACCGGACAACCGCGGGGGGGUGAAAAAGGUUUUGGGUUCGGAAAACCCGGUUGGGGGGAAAAAACGUUGGGGGGGGGGGAAAGCCCAUGAAGGAAGGGAAACAACCCAGAAAGGGCGGGUAAACUCCGG